GGCGAACGGGUGAGUAGCACGUGGGUGAUCUGCCUUGCACUCUGGGAUAAGCUUGGGAAACUGAGUCUAAUACCGGAUAGGAACCGUCUUUAGUGUGGUGGUUGGAAAGUUUUUUCGGUGCAAGAUGAGCUCGCGGCCUAUCAGCUUGUUGGUGGGGUAAUGGCCUACCAAGGCGUCGACGGGUAGCCGGCCUGAGAGGGUGUACGGCCACAUUGGGACUGAGAUACGGCCCAG
rnacentral:rRNA from 1 species